rnacentral:lncRNA from 1 species
GAGAGAGAGAGAGAGAGAGAGAGAGAGAGAGAGAGAGAUUCAAGUUAAUGUGUAUAUGCAUGCACUCAUAGAAAAGUGCUGCUCGAUCUGGUAUUCUGAAUCAUGGCAGCUGCAAAUUCAUCAACCCUUAAAACAUUAAAACACUGGUCACUGGUGAGAUGUUCAAAGCAAAUCCGGGAACAAAAGGCGCGAAUCUAUAUCAUAUGGAGGUGCACCAUGUUUCUUAUUUGCUCACAUGAUGAUCAUUAACAAUUGAAUAGCUCAGCUAGGAAUUAAGAUGUAAGUUGUAGAUGUUAACCAUCUUUCUCUAUAAGUUCUCCCUAGUUGCCACAAAAUCAAUACGUUCAAUGGUUGACUGCGAAUCAGCAAAAGCAUGAUCAGUUAAGAUUGCCUGUCCCGCCUCUUCUGCAAUAACUACAUUCUUACUGCCCUCCAAUUUGAAAGAAGCAACUAAGAUGGACACUAAUCCACCUAGUGCGCUUC